rnacentral:rRNA from 1 species
CCUACGGGAGGCAGCAGUGGGGAAUAUUGGACAAUGGGCGAAACCCUGAUCCAGCGACGCCGCGUGAGGGAAGAAGUAUUUCGGUACGUAAAGCUCUAUCAGCAGGAAAGAAAAUGACGGUACCUGACUAAGAAGCACCGGCUAACUACGUGCCAGCAGCCGCGGGAAUACGUCGUGGGCAAGCGUGAUCCGGAAUUACGGGGUGGAAGGGGAGCGUAGACGGCAGCGCAAGUCUGGAGCGAAAUGCCUGGGCCCAACCCCGGAACUGCUCUGGAAACUGGGAAGCUGGAGUGCGGGAGAGGUAAGCGGAAUGCCUGGUGUAGCGGUGAAAGGCGGAGAGAUCAGGAGGAACAGCGGGGGCGAAGGCGGCUUACUGGCGUGUAACUGACGUUGAGGCUCGAAGGCGUGGGGAGCAAACAGGAUUAGAUACCCGGGUAGUC